GACGAACGCUGGCGGCGUGCUUAACACAUGCAAGUCGAACGCUGAAGCUCAGCUUUUGUUGGGUGGAUGAGUGGCGAACGGGUGAGUAACACGUGAGUAACCUGCCCCCUUCUUUGGGAUAACGCCCGGAAACGGGUGCUAAUACUGGAUAUUCACUGGUCUUCGCAUGGGGGUUGGUGGAAAGGGUUUUUCUGGUGGGGGAUGGGCUCGCGGCCUAUCAGCUUGUUGGUGGGGUGAUGGCCUACCAAGGCUUUGACGGGUAGCCGGCCUGAGAGGGUGGCCGGUCACAUUGGGACUGAGAUACGGCCCAGACUCCUACGGGAGGCAGCAGUGGGGAAUAUUGCACAAUGGGCGCAAGCCUGAUGCAGCGACGCCGCGUGAGGGAUGGAGGCCUUCGGGUUGUGAACCUCUUUCGCUCAUGGUCAAGCCGCAACAAUGGUUGUGGUGAGGGCAGUGGGUAAAGAAGCGCCGGCUAACUACGUG
rnacentral:rRNA from 1 species